rnacentral:rRNA from 1 species
UACGGAAGGCAGCAGUGGGGAAUAUUGCACAAUGGGCGCAAGCCUGAUGCAGCCAUGCCGCGUGUAUGAAGAAGGCCUUCGGGUUGUAAAGUACUUUUCAGUCGUGAGGAAGGUGUUAAGGUUAAUAACCUUAGCAAUUGACGUUAGCGACAGAAGAAGCACCGGCUAACUCCGUGCCAGCAGCCGCGGUAAUACGGAGGGUGCGAGCGUUAAUCGGAAUUACUGGGCUAAAGGGCACGCAGGCGGUUAAUUAAGUUGGAUGUGAAAUCCCCGGGCUUAACCUGGGAAUGGCAUUCAAGACUGGUUAGCUAGAGUCUUGUAGAGGGGGUAGAAUUCCAUGUGUAGCGGUGAAAUGCGUAGAGAUGUGGAGGAAUACCGGUGGCGAAGGCGGCCCCUGGACAAAGACUGACGCUCGAUGUGCGAAAGCGUGGGGAGCGAAAC